ACUCAUAAACUCUCUCUCUCUCUCUCUCUCUCUCUCUCUCUCUCUCUCUCUCUCUCUCUGUGUGUGUGUGUGUGUGUGAGAGAGAGAGAGAGAGAGAGAGAGAGAGAGACAGACAGACAGACAGACAGA
rnacentral:miRNA from 1 species